GACGCACGCUGGCGGCGUGCCUAAUACAUGCACGUAGACCUGAGUUGCGAACGGGUGAGCAACGCGUAGGAACCUGCCUCAUCGCGGGGGCUAACUAUUGGAAACGAUAGCUAACACCGCAUACUGUGAGAUGGACCUGCGUUGUAUUAGCUAGUUUGUGAGGUAACGGCCUACCAAGGCGACGAUCUGUAACUGGUCUGAGAGGAUGAUCAGUCACACUGGACCUGAGACACGGUCCAGACUCCUACGUGAGGCAGCUGUGGGGAAUAGUGGACUAUAGGCUAAAGCCUUAUCCAGCCAUGCCGCGUGUGUGAAGAAGGUCUUCGGAUUGUAAAGCACUUUAAGUUGAGAGGCGUUACCAACAGAAUAAGCACCGGCUAACUUCGUGCCAGCGGCCGCGGUAAUAC
rnacentral:rRNA from 1 species